rnacentral:rRNA from 1 species
GAUGAACGCUGGCGGCGUGCCUAAUACAUGCAAGUCGAGCGAACGGACGAGAAGCUUGCUUCUCUGAUGUUAGCGGCGGACGGGUGAGUAACACGUGGAUAACCUACCUAUAAGACUGGGAUAACUUCGGGAAACCGGAGCUAAUACCGGAUAAUAUUUUGAACCGCAUGGUUCAAAAGUGAAAGACGGUCUUGCUGUCACUUAUAGAUGGAUCCGCGCUGCAUUAGCUAGUUGGUAAGGUAACGGCUUACCAAGGCAACGAUGCAUAGCCGACCUGAGAGGGUGAUCGGCCACACUGGAACUGAGACACGGUCCAGACUCCUACGGGAGGCAGCAGUAGGGAAUCUUCCGCAAUGGGCGAAAGCCUGACGGAGCAACGCCGCGUGAGUGAUGAAGGUCUUCGGAUCGUAAAACUCUGUUAUUAGGGAAGAACAUAUGUGUAAGUAACUGUGCACAUCUUGACGGAACCUAAUCAGAAAGCCACGGCUAACUACGUG